ACAUCGCCUCCAGAACAAAUAUUGGAGGUCCAUCCUGCCCAAUGAAUAAUUUAAAUGGCCGCGGUACCCUGACCGUGCAAAGGUAGCAUAAUCAUUUGCCUCCUAAUUAGAGGCUAGUAUGAAUGGACACACGAGAGUCAAGCUGUUUCACUCUUAUAAAUAAAAAUUAAUCUUCAGGUGAAAAAGCCUGAAUUAAAUAAAAAGACAAAAAGACCCUAUUGAGUUUUAUUGGAACCGUUUUCCCCUAGUAAAGAAUUGAAAAAGAAAAAGCAGAACCAAUUUAGUUGGGGCGACUGAGGAAGAGAUUAAAUCUUCCUUACAAAUAAAGGUAAUAAACCAAUUUAAUGAUCCGUAUAUACGAUUAAAAGAAAGAACUACCAUAGGGAUAACAGGCUAAUUUUCUUUGAGAGUCCAUAUUGACAAGAAAGUUUGGCACCUCGAUGUUGGCUUAGAAUACCUAUAA
rnacentral:rRNA from 1 species